rnacentral:rRNA from 1 species
UGUACCUACGGGACGCAGCAGUGGGGAAUAUUGCACAAUGGGGGGAACCCUGAUGCAGCGACGCCGCGUGAGUGAAGAAGUAUUUCAGUAUGUAAAGCUCUGUCAGCAGGGAAGAAGAAAGACGGUACCUGACCAAGAAGCCCCGGCUAACUACGUGCCAGCAGCCGCGGUAAUACGGAGGAUGCGAGCGUUAUCCGGAUUUAUUGGGUUUAAAGGGUGCGUAGGCGGUCUGUUAAGUCAGCGGUAAAAUUGCGGGGCUCAACCCCGUCGAGCCGUUGAAACUGGCAGACUUGAGUUGGCGAGAA